CAAAAACAAAACAAAACAAAGCAAAACAAACAAACAAAAAACCUCAAAAAACUAGCUUUUCUGGAAAUCAGAUUAAAACUUGUCAUAAAACACCUGUUGAAUCAACUUAAUUCUGUGAUCCAGGCUUUUCAUUUGUCCCAUAACUAGCCUUAGGGAGAAGCUGUGACUUGCCCGCAUUCUGAAUACAUCUAAGAAGAUACUGUAUCUGGAAAUUUUAAUUUUUUUUAAACUCUGUGUUUAGGUCUUCACUGGGGAGCACUCAGGGACCAAGGGAUAUCCCUUGUGUCAAUAAUACAUGCUGGUGAUUUCAAAACUUCUGGCCAUGUCUUCUGAGGCUAAAAAUAUUGAAGAUACUGCCUUUCCCAAAAGGACAGAGAAGAAGCAUGCCAAAAGGAGGAAAGGAAGUUACUAUAUCAAAAAGAAUGUGUAUUGCAGCACAAUUCACAAUUGCAGGGAAGGGUAUCAAUUUACUUCUAAGAAUUCCCCAAAAGGAACAAAUGGAAAAUAGAAUUUUAUCUGCUUCAUUUGCAAUGUCACAAGUAUGGAUCAUUUUCAUAAAAUUCAUCUCAUACCCCUGGGAUGAAAGAGUUGAUGAGACUAAACAUAAUAAACGGGAACCUGACCUACCAUCCAAAUCUUCCACUGCUAUUUGGCUAUCUACCUGGCACCACACUUGAGUUUUGUGAGGCCAGUUGGGAUGACUUAAGUUUGUAAGUUUUUUAUUAUUAGUUUUUUAUUUUAUAUCAAAACACAUAGAAAUGUCCCUAUCCUUUUUGCUUUUUAUUUAGCCUACAGCCCUUAAGUCAUUCUGCCUAAAAUUCAUCAAGCUCCUCUUCUUAUUAGGUCCAAUAUCCCAUAUAAAAUAAAAUUGCCUUGCAUGUAGUGCAUGCUCAAUACAAACUUAUUUUUCUGGAAGUAUCAGUUCCUGUGAGAGCAGGCUGUUAUAAAGUGAAGUUGCUUUGCAUUUUUGAAUGCCGACUUUCCCUUCCAAUUCUCCAACACGUUCUCCAAAUAUACAUAAGUAUCAGAGACUUAUAUAUAUCUUUUUUGUUCCUAGU